ACUUUGAUAUAUUUAGACGUUCUGUUUUUAUGUCGCUGUUUUACGUGUUACUUUUUUUAUGUUGUAGUACACUUAAAAUUGUCAAGGAGAAUCGCAUUCUCCAAAAAAACCCAUUAAAGUUCCAAAUUCUUAAAGUUUUAAAUUUUAUCGUGUUUAUUUUUGAAAAAAAGCUAGGUAUAUUUGUUUACACUUUUUUUGCAUAAUUAAUGACCCCUGGUGCGUAACUAAUGUAUUUGUCCUAAAAUUGAAAAUGCUACAUAAAGCUGUUAGCUGGGUAACAAACUAAUUUGCUUCUUUGGUUUGUUGAACUCACUGUUAUCAUUUUUACAUUAUUAUUGUUUCUCUUAAAAUGUGUUUUACUAAGCAUAAAUAGCUAGCUAUAGACCCGGCUAAGUCUCCCCAGUUUAAUUAUAUAUAACUGGGUGUCUUAGCUACUAUUAGCUGCUAGGUAAUGUUAGCUUUAACGCUCCAUCCCAUAGCUUAGCUAGCUGUAACCUAUGAGUUAUGUUGUUUUUCCUCUUUUUUAGCUAUAUAUACCUACCUUAAUAGUCAAAACUCUGUUCUCUUUUGAGCACGAAUUAUGAUGAAUAAGCUGGUUACAAAAUUUUUUAAAGACUUCCUAAACCUUUAGGAUGUGACACUUUUUUAUGCCCAUAGAGAAUAAUUUUUCACAUUUCCUGUAAACUUUACAAGGGGAACACAAUAUGACAAGUGGAACGAAUUUUAUAGAAUUUAAACUGUGUGUUAAGUUAUUUUUUAUUGUUUUGUUUCCAACAUCCUGUUGUACUUUUGUCAGCCUACCGUAAUGCUUCGAAUAAACCCCUUGGGCGUUUAUUAAAUUUUUUGACAUUUUUGAGGGGCGUCUAUUCGAUGGGGGCGUUUAAAAGAGGGGGGCGUUUAUUAAAUUUUUUACACUUCAUCUCUUUUGCAGUUUUUAAGGAUACCUACCUAUGAUAUAUAUCUUCACAACAGAAAAUAAAAUAUAUUCACAUGCUCUAAAGAAUGAACUUCAAAAGGGAAAAACUAAAUUUCCAACCUUAAACCUAAGAUUUAGGAAAAAAAUAUUAUUAUUAAAGUAUUAUCGCUUCGAAUAAACGCCCCUUAUGACGGGGUUUACAGGGGUUUUUGACGUUUUAUCGAAAAUUUACGUGGGUUUAUGACUUUGGGUUAAAAAACUUAUGAGGGGAUGGUAUGGUUGUCAAUUUAUAUUGUUCGUGUUGCAAAAUGCUAUUUUUUGAAAUUUUGUGUAAACUUUUGUGGAAAUAGACCACAUGCAAUAUAUAUAAUGAAAGAAAAAAGUUCUGUACAAUCGGACUUCACUGUAAGCUGUUGCCUGAUGUCUUUAUAGUUCGUAUUAUAAACUAUUGUUGGGGAUGUCAUGUGAUGUCAUUUUCGCUGAAAGAAAUUUCCAUGGUUUGACGUUUUUGUUUUUGUUAAGAACUCUACAAAAUUUUGUAGGGAUAAAUGUUUGCUGAUGAUAAAAAAAUUUCUUAAUGUUGUGACUGAACUGUUUUUGUUUUUUAUAUUUUGUAAUCUAAUGGGCGAGGACUGUAUGCACUAAAAUGACUGUUUUUUCUAAAUUUUGAUGUGUUUCAUAAUUUUUUUGUUGAAGAUUAAUGGUAAUGUCAAUUUGGGUAAGUUUCCCAAACCUGGGUUCCUGAAUCCGUUUCGGAAGUAACGGGUUGAUGAACUCAUCAAAAAAACCUUCAAACCCCAACAUCUCUGCAACCGUUUGUCAAAGGUACAUUGAUCCUAUACAUUUUCUUAAUCAGCGUUUCAAGAUGUAUACAAUUAAGGCAUUUCAUAUAUAAAAUUCUGAAAAAAUUUUUUUGUGUUUUUGCGGGACGUCAGAAAAAUUUUCAAACCCUUAAAUCUCCAUAGGCGUUUGUCGAAAACAUUUGUUCCUAUACAUUAUUUUGAUCAGUUUCAACGUCUACACAUUACAGGCAAAGAAUAAACUCAAUUUCGCCCAUUUUUUUUUUUUUGAUCUGCGCUGCUGAAAUGAGCAAAAAAUCUAAAACAACCUAUUAUUUUAUUGCACCUCUAAGUGGAUUUUACCACGGGCUUUAACGACUAGUAUCUUAAUAAACUACUACAUUUGCUAAAAAUGUUCUAUUGGAUCAACUGUAUGUAAUAUCAGUUUUUCCGAUCACGACGCUGUAAAAUUCAAAACUUUACCAAAAUAGUUUUUUUAUACAAUUCUAUUUAUUCUUAUGUACAUGUACAUGUUCAUUAAAAUUAAAUUUCUUUACAUUUAAUUUCAUAAAUAUUUUUUUUAUUAUGUCCAAUUCUCCUGGAAAAUCACGACCUUCAUCUUCGAAGGCAUGGUCCACACACUUAAAAUCAUAGUCUACCCCUACGAAGUCAUGGUCGUCUUCAGCAGGUGAUUGGUCAAUCUUCACCGAAUUGAUCAUUGAGUAGAUCUUCACCUUAUAAAAGGAAACUUUAUGAGUCAAUAUCUAUUGGUGAAUAUGUUCAUUUAUUGGAUGGAGGUUGCCGAAAAGUUAUUUAUUUUGGUGAAACAAGCAGUCAGAAAAUAAAUAUUUUGAAUGCACUGUUUUUGAGCGAAUGUUGAGCAAAGUCUAAAAGAAUUUAGGGACUUAAUGAACAAACUCAAAGAGUAUACAUUAUGUAAAUUGACUGACUUGAAAGUUGUUCAGACUAGAGGGAAAUGUUGUAUACAACAAUGUCAACUAAGUAGUCAAUAUAAAUGAUCAGAAUGUUGAUAACAUUAAACCAAAACAUGUGAAAGAAAAAGAUGCCCACGAAGUUUUGGAAGGGAGUUUUAUUUCCAUCCACAUUCCAUCCCAGGCAGUGGUUUACGCGUAUAACCGGUUUUCUGCAACUGUUGAAGUUAAGUCAGAUGUUACUAAUUCUCUUCAUGUGACCGGAUGGGAAACCACGCCCAAAACUGCAUUUACCUUUAAAAAAUGUUAACAAUAUCAAACAGGAAUUAAAGGCUGAUGCUGCUCUCAUAGUUUUACAGGACACAGUCUUUAACAAUAUUAAAUUAGGCAUGAAACUAAAAUGUCACCAGUCAUCAUAAAGAUAUCCAAUCCUAAUGUUUUACCUACGAAAGUGAAGAAUAAAAGUUUGGUUAGUGAUGAUGUGGUAAUAAAAGAUGAAUCUUAAAUUGUGUUUAGAAACAAAACUAUUUCGGUUUAUAAUCAAGUGGUUUAUUAUUGACUCCUUGUUGUUAGCAUUUUACUCUUUGUUGUGUUUCUUCAGUUGGUUAUUAUUUCCUGAUAUUAAGACAUUUUAAACGUUCAAUUUUUUAUUUUGCAUUCUUGUUGUGUUGUGUGUGUGUGUCUUCCCUAUUUUUACUUCAAAGUGAAGCUCUGUAAACAACAUUUUUAAAAUUAGAACUACUGAUCUAAAAAAAUUAGCUUUGAGUAUGUUUCUAACAAAUAGUAAUUAUCGGUGUAAAUCCUUAAAAAAAGACUGGGAUAAACAAGACAAUAGAUUUGUUGCAUCUCUUAACCCUUGGAGGAAAGAAUACGGAAGGAGAAACAACUCUUUUAAUUCUAUUGAAACACUGCGUGAGGUUCUAGCAGGUGUCUGUAUAGAAACUUAAUUUGAAAUUUUGGCGGUUGUGUGACUAAAUUAUUCGUGAAUAACAAUUCGCAACUAUGAUUGGUUAUAAAAACAAUUAGAUAAUUUGAUGAUGAAUUUGAUAAUAUUAUCAAAACAAGAAGCCAUAUUGAAAUCGGUAAAAUUUCUUUUGUUUUUAUGUUAGCAUAAUUAGCGAAGAAGCAUAUGCUCGACACUUUUGUAAACAAAAAGAAAAAGUUUAUAUCUCGUUUUAAAACGACGUUCUGUUAUAAGAAGUUAUUUCUUUAGUUAGAAUAAACAUUAAUCCAGCACACAUUUUGUCGGCACUCGUCCGGCGCAUAUCUAUCUAUAUUGUUUUUCAUGAUCAAAGUGGUAUACUCAAGCCUACAAAAAUAGGUUAAUAUCAUUGUUAAACGCUUAUUUCCAAACGUAUUGUUGAAGUUUUUAACAGCAAUGUUUACCGACUUAUAUUAGGCACACUUUCCAUACAAUAAUCACGUGCCUGCAGCGUGUUACAGUCAGAUUUCAAUAGAAAAAAGUUAGCCCCUAUUAAAGGAGAAUAUGGAAUUUGAUCAUUUUUUUGCGAAAAAGACUCGGUCGAGCACCUCACGCACUGAUUCUUUUGAAAUUAAAAACAAUAGAAAAUUCAAUACAUUUAAAGCGUACAGAAAUGAAGUUGUUUCUCCUUCCGUAUUCUUUCCUCCAAGCUUAACCCUAACUUUGGAUUUACACUAAACUUUUCAUGAUUACAAAUUGUUAGAAAAACUGUUGUUUUAUUUUCAAAGAAAAAAUAUUGUACAUAUUUAUAUUUAACAGUAUUUUGUUCUGUUAAUUAAUAUGCUUUCUUGACUGGAAAAGGGUAAUAAUAUAGAUUAAAAAUAUCGAUUGAAUUUA